rnacentral:rRNA from 1 species
UUGAUGAUCGGUGCUUGCACCGAGAUUCAACAUGGAACGAGUGGCGGACGGGUGAGUAACACGUGGGUAACCUGCCCUUAAGUGGGGGAUAACAUUUGGAAACAGAUGCUAAUACCGCAUAGAUCCAAGAACCGCAUGGUUCUUGGCUGAAAGAUGGCGUAAGCUAUCGCUUUUGGAUGGACCCGCGGCGUAUUAGCUAGUUGGUGAGGUAAUGGCUCACCAAGGCGAUGAUACGUAGCCGAACUGAGAGGUUGAUCGGCCACAUUGGGACUGAGACACGGCCCAAUACUCCUACGGGAGGCAGCAGUAGGGAAUCUUCCACAAUGGACGCAAGUCUGAUGGAGCAACGCCGCGUGAGUGAAGAAGGCUUUCGGGUCGUAAAACUCUGUUGUUGGAGAAGAAUGGUCGGCAGAGUAACUGUUGUCGGCGUGACGGUAUCCAACCAGAAAGCCACGGCUAACUACGUGCCAGCAGCCGCGGUAAUACGUAGGUGGCAAGCGUUAUCCGGAUUUAUUGGGCGUAAAGCGAGCGCAGGCGGUUUUUUAAGUCUGAUGUGAAAGCCCUCGGCUUAACCGAGGAAGCGCAUCGGAAACUGGGAAACUUGAGUGCAGAAGAGGACAGUGGAACUCCAUGUGUAGCGGUGAAAUGCGUAGAUAUAUGGAAGAACACCAGUGGCGAAGGCGGCUGUCUGGUCUGUAACUGACGCUGA